CACAAGCGGUGGAUGAUGUGGAUUAAUUCGAUGCAACGCGAAAACCUUACCUACCCUUGACAUGUCCGGAAUCCCGAAGAGAUUUGGGAGUGCUCGCAAGAGAACCGGAACACAGGUGCUGCAUGGCUGUCGUCAGCUCGUGUCGUGAGAUGUUGGGUUAAGUCCCGCAACGAGCGCAACCCUUGUCAUUAGUUGCCAUCAUUUGGUUGGGCACUCUAAUGAGACUGCCGGUGACAAACCGGAGGAAGGUGGGGAUGACGUCAAGUCCUCAUGGCCCUUAUGGGUAGGGCUUCACACGUCAUACAAUGGUCGGUACAGAGGGUUGCCAACCCGCGAGGGGGAGCUAAUCCCACAAAGCCGAUCGUAGUCCGGAUCGCAGUCUGCAACUCGACUGCGUGAAGUCGGAAUCGCUAGUAAUCGUGGAUCAGCAUAUCACGGUGAAUACGUUCCCGGGUCUU
rnacentral:rRNA from 1 species